CCUUGCACUUUGAGUAACGUUGUUGGUUGGGUUUUUGUGCCCUUCUCUCUUAGAUCUCAGACCUGAUACAACAAAGCACAAAGGAGUCCCCGCUCUGGGAGUUCCUCAGCCUGGGCUACGCACUCAUGCUCUGCCCCUUGGUCGUCGUCCUCGGAGGGAUGUUUUUCCUGGCCACGGCCCUCUUCUUCCUCAGCGACCGCGCCAAAGCAGAACAACAGGUGAAUCAAUUAAUGGUGCCACCAGCCUCUGUGAAAGUCUGAGAAGCUGACGUGACAGACGUUGAAGGAAAAGAGGGGCGGACUCCAGCUCACACAACCACCACCCGAGCUAGGAACCCCCGGGACUGGAAACAAGCAAAACAUCCAGCUCCGUGAUGCAUUUGGAGUCUUAUCAAGUGCUAAGCCAAUCACUUCACUCUAACCAGCUGCAGGGUCAGGGUCAGAGACGCAAAGCGGGGGCGUUAAGUGUCUUGUAGGGUUUCCCAUAUCCCUGAACGUCAACAGUGAGUGUCCAGACCCCACACCCACACCACCCUGUGACUGACUGUACAUUGUGUAUACAUUAGGUUUAGCCAGUGAAGAAGUCUUUGUUGCAUACAGGGCAACAUCCGUCCUAGUAAAUGCUGCCAGUUCGGUCAGCCAGAGACUGUGCCAGCUGGAAACCUGGUCUCUAUAUCUCGGCUUUCCAAAUUGAAGGCUCAACCCGGCGUUCUUCAAUGAUUAUUCAAACAGGUCGGCAGAUGCUUUAUCUUCGCAGAAGACACCAAAUAGAGAGUUGGCAGAGUUGUAUGCAAGCUUUGAGCAUCUCGUGAGCCAGGCACCUUACUGGAUGUGAACGCUUCCACUGCAUGGCCACAUCCAUCCCCCCAGAGCGCUCCAGGGGAACAUGCGAAAGGAUGGCAGAGAGGUCCAAGCAACAGCGUCCUGCUUAAGGGAGACACGGUGGCACUAGCGUGGAGAGCUGUGUGUCAUUCUUGAGCAGCUAGGAGGAGAAGGAGAGUCUCUCCCUUGCACAAGAUGUUCUCUGGGAUUGUUACAGAAGAGCCAGGAAAACCAUGGUCAGUGCUUUCUGGUGGCUUCCAGUUUUGUUUAAUGUAAUUCGUUUCAGUGCCAGGGAGAAGAAAGUUUACAAAAUACCGAACUCCAGAGAUGAAUUGCUUUCCCUGAAGUCUGGUAUUGCUGCACUGAGGGUCUGUGUGUGGUUACAUGCAUAGAAUCAUCAUUAUGCAUGCUGCAAAUACUAAUGAUUUUUUCCCCAGUAUUUUUCAAACACAUUUAUGGUGUUAUAAAGCUUUGUUCCUACAAUUUUAGUAUUUCCCCUCCCUGCAGUCCUAGGCAACGUCUACCCUGCAACACUAUUUCGGGAUACUGGAAUAUCCCGGCUUUCUAGGUAUUACAGCUGUGAGCAAUGAGGUGCUAAUGGCUCCAGAAAAAUAAUUGCCCGCUCACCUCAUUUUUUGGCUUAGUCAAAAGCGUAAGCUGGGACAAGUCUCUCUCCUCCGUUUACUUACGUAUCACUGGGCCUCAGCCCUUUUCAAGCAAAUUUUUUAGGGUUGAAAUUUGGCACUAAAUGACGAAAUAAGCUAUUUCGAAAUAGCAUUGAAAUAAGAGACGCAAUGUGCAUAGGUCAAAUUGCAUCUCUUAUUUCGAGUUACGGUGCAGCGUAGAUGCACCCCAACUGUUCUGGUUUGCUCCCUCCUAAGGGAGUGACAGUCUGACUUAAGUUCACUUUGAACUUUCCAGAAUUGCCUCUGGGAUUUUCUUUUUAAUACCCUCGUCCACACUGUAAGGAGUGAGCCUCUCCUCGCUUUGUGUCUAAUGUCAGAUCUUUUGUUUAACAAAGAGGUCUUGUUUUUUGUAGUUGACAUUCAAGUGUCACAUUUACACUACACCAGCAUGAAGGUAUUACAGCUGUGAGCAAUGAGGUGCUAUCGGCUCCAGAAAAAUAAUUGCCCACUCACCUUAUUUUUCUGCUUAGUCAAAAGCGUAAGCUGGGGCAAUUCUCUCUCCUCCGUUUACUUACGUGUCACUGGAAAAUGCAUGUAGGCCUCAGCCCUUUUCAAGCAGCCCAGCAAAAUACUCUUCCUUUCAAACUAGGCCAGGGCUGGAUUGGAAACAAUACUAACGAGCAUUCUGGGCCGGUUUUACUCAUCAGUGGGGUAGAGAUUAGUAGCAGCAGAGCCACUGAUUAACUAACGUCAACGCUACCACGACGGCACAAGUAAAUCAGAGCCCACCCCACUUUAAAAUGUUUCAAGUCUUUUCACGUCCACCGUGAAGGCAGGGAGCUGUGCUCUGCAGGGAAGACACGAGAGACGGCAGAUAUUUACCUCCAGUUACCCGUGUCCUGGUCAAAAAUAGCCACAUUUGCAAUAAGAUUCCUUUUAAAACAACUGAGCAAAGUGUCAGUUAAUAAUCCCCUUGAUGUGAACGAGACCAGUUCGUCACUGUAGCUGUGGCUAACCAAAUGAGCAAUACAAGCCCUUCUAACAGUCCUGCGAGAGAACCUGGAACUGCCUGGGUCACCUUAAACCAGUGGGUCCCAAACUUUUUGGCAUCACGCCCCCUUUUUGAUUUUUGAAAAACCCUCACGGGCCCCCUCCCCCUCAAAAAAAUAGCAGUAAAACUAGUUGAGGAAAACUAGGGGCAGCAAAACUUGAUGGGGGUGGGGGAGAGCUGGGUCACCUCGCCCCCCCCCUUGGAAUUUCUCCCAGUUUGGGAACCCAGGCCUUAAACGGUGAGAUUAGUGACCUCACGUUUGCAGAAACAAAUCCCACGAGAAGUGUCAUUUCUACAGAAGCCCCUGGCACAGUUGGUGACUCCUGGCUAGAGAAUCCUAUUGGUUUCCUCCCUGGGAAUUCUGUAGGGCAGUGAUCCCCAGCAUGGUGCCCGGGGGCAUUUAUGUGCGCCCGCCUAGUGACCAGGGCCGGCCGGAGCCAUUCUUACGCCCCAGGCGCCAGGCACAUGUGUGGGCCCUGCCCCAGGUGUGCAGCGCAUGCGCAGUGCCGCCCCCGGGUGCGUGGUGCAUGGCAGUGCUGCCCCCGGGCGUCCGGCAGCCCCAAAAGGUUGGGGACCACUGCUGUAGGGACUCAUCUGCCAAUAGUCUUCGAUGGUGGGGGAGUUUAUAAGUAUUUUUUAUAGGCUGAGCAGACAGUUGGAGCGCGAAGCCUUCUACUGGCCCGUCCCCAGGAGAACAGCCACUGGGCUUGUGCUCCGCUACAAUAAUCAGCAAAGCGAGUGCACACCAAAGCUUCAUUUCCCACCUCAUGCCGUUAACAGCCUUGCUCAAGGAAACCUCCGCAGCCUGGCAGCCAAAGGCCUGCGUUGGAAGCACGUGAUUUUUUGUGGUUCUCGUGAAGAUGUUCGCCGUUAAUCUAUGUAAAACCUUGAAGGCAGGCAGCUGGAUGUCAGAGGCCAAGGGCAGAGGAGCUGGAUUUCCUAAAUUGUUACUUCAAGGUGCUUUAAAAGUUACAGCACUUAACCCUCAAGAGCAGGACGUUGGCAUCCCCUGGGAUGUUAUUCCCAAUACAUUUGCAGUGGAGAGGGAGCUGAUAAAUACGCCUUAAUUUGACCGCAUUUUCCAUUUGGCAACACAACCAUCUCCUUCGAAGGAAGGCACAGCCGUCGUGGAGGGGCAGGCCACACUUCCACGGUGUCUGGCCACAGUGUAAGCAAAUGGAGAAUUAGCUCCUGUCCCCACACUAGGGAUCCUUCACUGACUGAAUUCUCCUGUCAGAGGCUGAAACGCCAGGCUCCACAGAGCUAAAGUAGCCAGCCAUGAGACCCCAGGGAGGGAAAGAAGCAGGGAAUUUGAAACCCCCAUCUUGAGGCUGUCAUCUCCCCUUUGCAUACCAUGUGCAGCCACCCAAAGAGAGGAAGGUGUUUUUGAGGUGUCGCUACACAUGUCUAUUUCGAGAUGGAAUUUCUCUAGCAUUGUUCUGUUAGAGCUUCUAUUACAUAUUUAUUCUUUAGAAAGAAAGCAGGUCAUUCGGAUCAAGGGGGCAGGGCAACGACAAAGCAGUAAGUCAAGCGUUCUGGCUGCUCAGAGAAGGGAGGCUUGAGAAGUACUGAAGAGGAGGCGGCUGGGUACAACCUACCUUCUGGUGUAACAUUCGGGCUCUCUGCUAGUGCAUCCUCCCUCGGGUGGCAUUGAUCUCAUGGGCGCUGAUGCCAGUUCUUGCCAAUAGGACAAGUGGGUUCCAGGCCCAGUUCCACUGCGUGGCCUGUAGGCCAGACGCUACCUCUCCGCUUGUUUCUUCAGCAGUAACAUGGAGAGCGUUACCGGCCCUUUCUGGCACCGUGUCCACGAGGAACGCUCUGCCUUCCCAGCUCUGGCGCAGGGUGCAAACGCCGGUGUUCCUCUGCGGCACUACUGUAGUCUCUUCCUCGGCCACAUUCAGAACCGACGAGGGCCGGGGCUCUCGCCAUGGAGACGGGGGUUCCCCACAGAAGGGCGUCAGGAAAAGCCGCAGCAGAAAUAGAGUUGGGUGCGUCGUUUGGCACCGAGACGCAGAUAGUUUAACGUGCGCUUGUCACUUGACAGCUGGUACCGGGGGCUUCCCUAACGCGCCCAACCGUUGCGCGAGGCCCAGCGCUUGCUGGUGUACCGGGGGAGAGGGAGGGGCUGAAAGUAGACGUAGAGUGAAGCUAGUAGGAGGAGGGACCCAGCGCAGCGGGCGAGGCUCUGAAAGCUGCCCCAGCUCUGCAGAGACGGCAGGGCUAAGAAAUCACUUUCCGCGUGAAGCUGAGGCAGUAGCGGGUUAGCGCGACAGCCCUACGUGCUGGCCUAGCCCCUGCACUUAAAUGCCCCUCAGUGUAAUUGCUGUAGGGUCACGGCUCUGCCUGUGUAGGCCCCCUUCAGGAAACAGAAGCAAGUCUUGGGUAUUGGCUGUAGGCAAAAUGGGGGUCUGCGCAUUAGACGUAAGGCUCUAGCGGGUCCUGAGAGCAUCUGCAAGGCCAUGGGCCCGUGGGCGGCUUCUACCUCCCCGCAUCUCUCCCCCACCAAUAAGCUGCAGUGCUGAGCAGUGCCGACGCUAGAGCAGCUAAACCUGGACAGCAGAAUGGGAGCUGGGGGAGAGGGAACGCUCCCUCGCCUGCCCUACGCACAUGGCCCCUGAUGCAAGAAGGAGGAUGCUAGGGACAGGCACACACUGCACCUUUUCCCCUCCCUGGGUAGCCCUCACAACCGACGGGGCCGGAACGCUCCCUCAGCGCCCCUCUGACCUCCCUCAUCUCUCCCUCACGUCCGCACUGGUGAGGCACUCGCUCCCUUCGACGCAGCCCGGUAUCGGCCAUUG